ACGCUGCAGUUUGGAGAAUGAAUUGGGAGGUUGUACGCAAUGUGGUGGGAGAGAAUAAACUCAGGUGGCUGUCCAGGUUAGAGAGGAAAGAACCCAGGCCAGGAGGGUCUCCUGAAGACUGAGAGAGGUACAAGAAGGAGUGUUACUUGGAAGCUGAACCAAACAGGCUAUCAAAUCACACACGGAGAUCUUUGAAGGAGGGUUAAAAAAUCACAUGCUCAGAACUAUAUGUUUUUUAAGCUUUUAGAGUUCAAAUCUGUAUGACCUCGUGUUUGAGGAUCUGUGAAGAAAUGUGUUCACACCUGCCAAUUCUGUCAUUUAUGCUCUCAUUCUAGGAACCCAUUUAUCAGGCAACUUCAAUAGAAUGUUCUUGCAACCA